rnacentral:lncRNA from 1 species
UUUUUUGGAAGAUUGUGUAAUUGAAAAUAAGAGAGAAAAAUAUAAAAUGUAAUGAAAUAAAAUUUAAUGGGGGUUAAACAAACAAAUUGCCCAUCAUUCUCAUUGCCGGCCACAAUAUUUGUUUAUUUGGCCAAAUAAUCAAAGCAUUAAAAAACAAUGGUAAAAGACUCAAUAUUCAAGUAAAAGUCAAUAAGUGACGUUAGAGAUACAAACUAGUAUCCUUCUCAAGCCCUAAUCAUGGAGUAAGUUACACAUUCUCACUGGAAAGCAUAAAUUGAAUGAAAAAUUCAUCAUCAUGAGUAUGAUUAAAUAAAAGAUAAACAUUUCGUUAAUGGUGAAACUUUUUACACCUAUUUGGGUCACUUAAAAAAAUAAAUAAAAUUAAAAAACGCUCAAAGAAGUGUGAAAAGGGGAAUGAUUCCAUUUUUCUCAAACUCCUUUACGAAAACGAUUGGAGCACUGAUUUUGACGUAAAAAUAUCAACCAUUAGCCAACAAUCAAGGAGAUCUCUCAUACCAUAAAAUACACAACUUUCUUGCAUUCAAGAGAGGCAAAAAGCAUUCUUUCAAGGGAGAUUAAGAGGCAGGUUAUAAGGAAUCCAUUCAAGAUUGUUUCUUGUUUUUGGAGGAAAGAAGAAGAGGGUCAGCUGGAGAUUAUUCAAGGAGGAUUCAAGAAUUCAUAGCGUUUUCUCUUCUUAUUUCUUUUCUCCUAUUUCUAAAAUUUCGAGCAAUGUUUUAUUAUUCCUAUAUGAUUUCUUGUAACUUUUUGAUGUUAGGCUAAAUUUUUAGCUGCUAAGUGAUGAGUGUGUUUAACUCACACAUUUUAUACUAUUUUAACUUGAUAAUUGGUUAGAUCGCACGAGUUUCAAAAGCUUUUAAUGUGUGUUCUAGUAUUGUUUUAUAGUUUUGGUGAGGUGGUGUUAAUAAUGCAAAAGUUGGAGAAGCAAGUGGCUAGGAAUGAAUCGAAGAAAAGGGGCAAAAGGAGAAUUUCACAAUGCAAAUGGGGGCGCACAAGCCCCAUCAAGUGGUACCCAAGUGCCACCCAAAAAAAGAAGAGACAACAAAUUACCCGAGAGAUGGCGCCACUAGAAGCAAAAGGAAGUAGCAAAUGUAGUUGGUGGCACCAAGGCGCCACACGAGAGGAAAGACACCAUAGGUCAACCAAAAGGUGGCACCUUGCAUAACUUCGUGGCACCAUGGUGCCACUAGGGUGCCGCCUAAUGUGUUCGAAGACGAGAAUUUUUGGCCUGUUAAAAGCCCGGAAAGACUCCACAUCCAAGGGAAAAAGUUAGAAGAAGAAUAACUACAUAGUAAUAGACUUUUUUGAAGGGUCCCACACAUAAAGAAACAAAAUCUACAACUUAAGAAUUAGGAGAGCAACUCAAACGAGAAAAAUAACAAGAAAUCAAGGAUCUGAAGAUUAAUUGGGCAAGAAGAUCAUCUUAGUACAAGAUUCAUCCGCAUAUCUUCAUCUUUAUUCAAAAUUCGGUGAUGUACUCAAUGAAUAUAUAUUGAUUAUCUUUCUACAUUAUUAGUAGCUAAAUCUUUU